UACGGAGGGUGCAAGCGUUAUCCGGAUUUACUGGGUUUAAAGGGUGCGUAGGUGGGUCUGUAAGUCAGUGGUGAAAUCUCCGGGCUUAACCCGGAAACUGCCAUUGAUACUAUAGGUCUUGAAUUAUCUGGAGGUGAGCGGAAUAUGUCAUGUAGCGGUGAAAUGCUUAGAUACGACAUAGAACACCAAUUGCGAAGGCAGCUCACUACGGAUAUAUUGACACUGAGGCACGAAAGCGUGGGGAUCAAACAGG
rnacentral:rRNA from 1 species